UCCGGAUCGAUGAUGUUACUGAUAUACUGCGUUAUCUAUCUGCAACUUCCUAAAAGGAAUUGAAGAUAAAUAUAAUAUGCUGAGAUCCACA